UGGCGGACGGGCGAGUAACGCGUGAGCAACCUGCCCUUCGGAGGGGGAUAGUGUCUGGAAACGGACAGUAAUACCGCAUAACGUAUUUUUACCGCAUGAUAGAAAUACCAAAACUGAGGUGCCGAAGGAUGGGCUCGCGUUGGAUUAGAUAGUUGGUGGGGUAACGGCCUACCAAGUCGACGAUCCAUAGCCGGACUGAGAGGUUGAACGGCCACAUUGGGACUGAGACACGGCCCAGACUCCUACGGGAGGCAGCAG
rnacentral:rRNA from 1 species